AUGAAACAGUUCUGUCCUGGGAUGUACCACCGAGGGGUAGCGGAAAGACCACCCACUCUGGAAGGUACCAUUGGGAGAGGGCGUGUGACAACAGAGAGGGUCCCCUUACACCGCGUCGGGCAUGGACCGCAGUUCCCAGCAGCGGCACUCAUGGCGCCACUAGGUCCAUCCCCACUCGCUCCUCUUGGUCUUCCCACUGCUUUUGAAUCCGAGUGGACACAGGACCAGCAGCCCAGUGUUGAGCAACCUCAACAAGAGGAACCGCCAGCUGAGAUUCAGGAUAUCACACCUGGGAAGGAGGAAGUAAAUGGAGAGGAUCCGGUGAAUCAUAAUGAAGAGAAGGAGGAUGCCUCUGGAGGUAAAGUAGUCUGAUUCUGGAAACUGAUCUCCAGGAAUUGGCUGAGGCAAAGACUGGGGGUAAGGUGGAGAUGGUCCCAAUGUCAGGGAGGAGGUUGCAUCAAAUACAGAGCCUGUUGAAAUGCCAGAAGCAGGUAUGUCAUCCAUUCAGAAAGUAAUUUAUGUGGUUUCUU
rnacentral:lncRNA from 1 species